rnacentral:ncRNA from 1 species
AGAGUAGGGGCUUCGCGUCGGCGCUUGCGCCGGUAGUGCCGUCGGAUGGGAGGUUGCCGACGGACGAAACAGCAUUUUGCUGUACGGUGGAUCUCCGCAGCCGCU